UGGUGGAGUGAUUUGUCUGGUUAAUUCCGAUAACGAACGAGACCUUGGCCUGCUAACUAGUCACGGCAAGUCUUUUGGCUUGCUGGCAGUACUUCUUAGAGGGACAAUCUGUUCAUUCAGCAGAUGGAAGCACAAGGCGAUAACA
rnacentral:rRNA from 1 species